GGGAUAACACCUGGAAACAGAUGCUAAUACCGGAUAACAACACUAGACGCAUGUCUAGAGUUUGAAAGAUGGUUCUGCUAUCACUCUUGGAUGGACCUGCGGUGCAUUAGCUAGUUGGUAAGGUAACGGCUUACCAAGGCAAUGAUGCAUAGCCGAGUUGAGAGACUGAUCGGCCACAUUGGGACUGAGACACGGCCCAAACUCCUACGGGAGGCAGCAGUAGGGAAUCUUCCACAAUGGACGAAAGUCUGAUGGAGCAACGCCGCGUGAGUGAAGAAGGGUUUCGGCUCGUAAAGCUCUGUUGGUAGUGAAGAAAGAUAGAGGUAGUAACUGGCCUUUAUUUGACGGUAAUUACUUAGAAAGUCACGGCUAACUACGUGCCAGCAGCCGCGGUAAUACGUAGGUGGCAAGCGUUGUCCGGAUUUAUUGGGCGUAAAGCGAGUGCAGGCGGUUCAAUAAGUCUGAUGUGAAAGCCUUCGGCUCAACCGGAGAAUUGCAUCAGAAACUGUUGAACUUGAGUGCAGAAGAGGAGAGUGGAACUCCAUGUGUAGCGGUGGAAUGCGUAGAUAUAUGGAAGAGCACCAGUGGCGAAGGCGGCUCUCUGGUCUGCAACUGACGCUGAGGCUCGAAAGCAUGGGUAGCGAACAGGAUUAGAUACCCUGGUAGUCCAUGCCGUAAACGAUGAGUGCUAAGUGUUGG
rnacentral:rRNA from 1 species